GUCCUAGGGACAGGGCAGGAAGGAAGGUUCCUGAGCUCCACCCUUCAACUCCCACCUUUGGCCAGCACAGGUCCGUGCAACUUGCGGGGCUCCCUGCCCGCACCCCCCAGCCCUCUGCUGUCACAGCAUCAUCACAAGCCUCAGCCUAGCAGGGCCAGAACAAAAGUGCGUCCCCAAGGCGGGUGGGUUGAGACUGUUCAGGCUAAACUUUAGGUCUGGGUAAGAAUCAAGGUCUGCCUCUCUCCAGCUCAAUCCGACUUUCGAGACGAGCAGAACGCAGCUCCUGGGGUGAUCUUUCAGUUGUGUUAUAAAAUCAUUAGCUUUCCCCUAGUUGUGCCAUUUAAAAAUAUACACUGUGCUCCUGUAC
rnacentral:lncRNA from 1 species